UACGGAGGGUGCAAGCGUUAUCCGGAUUCACUGGGUUUAAAGGGCGCGCAGGCGGCUUUGCAAGACAGGUGUGAAAUCCCCGGGCCUAACCUGGGAACUGCAUUUGUGACUGCAUAGCUAGAGUUUGUCAGAGGGGGGUGGAAUUCCACGUGUAGCAGUGAAAUGCGUAGAUAUGUGGAGGAACACCGAUGGCGAAGGCAGCCCCCUGGGAUGUGACUGACGCUCAUGUACGAAAGCGUGGGGAGCAAACAGG
rnacentral:rRNA from 1 species